rnacentral:rRNA from 1 species
UACGUAGGGUGCGAGCGUUGCCCGGAUUUAUUGGGCGUAAAGGGCUCGUAGGCGGUCCGUCACGUCGGGAGUGAAAACUCAGGGCUCAACCCUGAGCGUGCUUCCGAUACGGGCGGACUAGAGGUAUGCAGGGGAGAACGGAAUUCCUGGUGUAGCGGUGGAAUGCGCAGAUAUCAGGAGGAACACCGGUGGCGAAGGCGGUUCUCUGGGCAUUACCUGACGCUGAGGAGCGAAAGCAUGGGGAGCGAACAGG